rfam:Triticum aestivum genome assembly, contig: Triticum_aestivum_CS42_TGACv1_scaffold_578619_7BL
UUUGUACUCCAUCCGUCCCAAAAUUCUUGUCUUAAAUUUGUCUAAAUAUGGAUGUAUCUAGUGACAUUUUAGUGUUAGAUACAUCCGUAUCUAAACAAAUGUAAAACAAGAAUUUUGGGAUGGAGGGAAUACUAC